rfam:Salmo salar isolate Sally breed double haploid chromosome ssa15, whole genome shotgun sequence.
UGGCUCAGUUGGUAGAGCAUGGUGUUUGCAACGCCAGGGUUGUCGGUUCGAUUCCCAC